AUUGAACGCUGGCGGCAGGCCUAACACAUGCAAGUUGAGCGGAUGAGAGGAGCUUGCUUCUCGAUUCAGCGGCGGACGGGUGAGUAAUGCCUAGGAAUCUGCCUGGUAGUGGGGGACAACGUUUCGAAAGGAACGCUAAUACCGCAUACGUCCUACGGGAGAAAGCAGGGGACCUUCGGGCCUUGCGCUAUCAGAUGAGCCUAGGUCGGAUUAGCUAGUUGGUUAGGUAAUGGCUCACCAAGGCGACGAUCCGUAACUGGUCUGAGAGGAUGAUCAGGCACACUGGAACUGGGACACGGUCCAGACUCCUACGGGAGGCAGCAGUGGGGAAUAUUGGACAAUGGGCGAAAGCCUGAUCCAGCCAUGCCGCGUGUGUGAAGAAGGUCUUCGGAUUGUAAAGCACUUUAAGUUGGGAGGAAGGGUUGUAGAUUAAUACUCUGCAAUUUUGACGUUACCGACAGAAUAAGCACCGGCUAACUCUGUGCCAGCCGCCGCCGUAAUAC
rnacentral:rRNA from 1 species